GAUGAACGCUAGCGGCAGGCCUAAUACAUGCAAGUCGAACGGUGUCUUCGGACAUAGUGGCGCACGGGUGCGUAACACGUAUGCAACCUACCUUACAUUGGGGGAUAGCCUUUCGAAAGGGAGAUUAAUACCGCAUAAGACAGUAGCUGGGCAUCCAGCAGCUGUUAAAGAUUUAUCGAUGUAAGCUGGGCAUGCGUCCAAUUAGCUAGUUGGUGAGGUAACGGCUCACCAAGGCAAUGAUUGGUAGGGGAACUGAGAGGUCAAUCCCCCACUCGGGCAAUGAGAUACGGGCCAGACUCCUGCGGGAGGCAGAAGUAGGGAAUAUUGGGAGAUGGACGCAAGUCUGACCCAGCCAUGCCGCGUGCAGGAUGAAGGCGUUAUGCGUUGUAAAAUGCUUUUAUACAGGAAGAAACGACUCUUGCGAGAGGCAUUGACGGUACUGUAUGAAUAAGCACCGGCUAACUCCGUGCCAGCCGCCGCGGUAAAAC
rnacentral:rRNA from 1 species